GAUGAACGCUGGCGGCGUGCCUAAUACAUGCAAGUCGAGCGAACAGAUAAGGAGCUUGCUCCUUUGACGUUAGCGGCGGACGGGUGAGUAACACGUGGGUAACCUACCUAUAAGACUGGAAUAACUCCGGGAAACCGGGGCUAAUGCCGGAUAACAUUUAGAACCGCAUGGUUCUAAAGUGAAAGAUGGUUUUACUAUCACUUAUAGAUGGACCCGCGCCGUAUUAGCUAGUUGGUAAGGUAACGGCUUACCAAGGCAACGAUACGUAGCCGACCUGAGAGGGUGAUCGGCCACACUGGAACUGAGACACGGUCCAGACUCCUACGGGAGGCAGCAGUAGGGAAUCUUCCGCAAUGGGCGAAAGCCUGACGGAGCAACGCCGCGUGAGUGAUGAAGGUCUUCGGAUCGUAAAACUCUGUUAUUAGGGAAGAACAAAUGUGUAAGUAACUGUGCACGUCUUGACGGUGCCUAAUCAGAAAGCCACGGCUAACUACGUG
rnacentral:rRNA from 1 species